rnacentral:rRNA from 1 species
AGGGCACCACCAGGAGUGGAGCCUGCGGCUUAAUUUGACUCAACACGGGAAAACUCACCCGGCCCGGACACUGGAAGGAUUGACAGAUUGAGAGCUCUUUCUUGAUUCAGUGGGUGGUGGUGCAUGGCCGUUCUUAGUUGGUGGAGUGAUUUGUCUGGUUAAUUCCGAUAACGAACGAGACUCUAGCCUACUAAAUAGAUCGUCGGCUUACAAACGCCGGCGAGACUUCUUAGAGGGACAGGCGGUGAUUCAACCGCACGAAACAGAGCAAUAACAGGCCUGUGAUGCCCUUAGAUGUCCGGGGCCGCACGCGCGCUACACUGAAGUGAUCAGCGUGCUUUUUCAACCUACUCUGUCAAGAGUGGGGAACCCAAUGAACCUUCUUCGUGAUUGGGAUAGGGGAUUGUAAUUAUUCCCCUUGAACGAGGAAUUCCCAGUAAGCGCGAGUCAUAAGCUCGCGUUGAUUACGUCCCUGCCCUUUGUACACACCGCCCGUCGCUACUACCGAUUGAAUGUUUU